UGGGGAAUCUUGCGCAAUGGACGAAAGUCUGACGCAGCGACGCCGCGUGCGGGAGGAAGCCCUUCGGGGUGUAAACCGCUGUCACCGGGGAAGAACGGCCGGGAGAGGAAAUGCUCCUGGAGUGACGGUACCCGGGGAGGAAGCACCGGCUAACUCUGUGCCAGCAGCCGCGGUAAUACAGAGGGUGCGAGCGUUGUUCGGAAUUACUGGGCGUAAAGCGCGCGCAGGCGGCCGUUUAAGUCUCACCGUUCAAGCCCGGAGCUCAACUCCGGUCCGCGGGGGAUACUGGACGGCUAGGGACGUGUAGGGGCGAGCGGAAUUCCGGGUGUAGCGGUGGAAUGCGUAGAGAUCCGGAAGAACACCGGGGGCGAAGGCGGCUCGCUGGGCAUGGUCCGACGCUGAGGCGCGAAAGCGUGGGGAGCGAACAG
rnacentral:rRNA from 1 species